UGGGGAAUAUUGGGCAAUGGGCGCAAGCCUGACCCAGCGACGCCGCGUGAGGGAAGAAGGCCUUUGGGUCGUAAACCUCUGUUGUAUGGGAAGAAGGAAGUGACGGUACCAUACGAGGAAGUCCCGGCUAACUACGUGCCAGCAGCCGCGGUAAUACGUAGGGGACGAGCGUUGUCCGGAAUUACUGGGCGUAAAGGGCGCGCAGGCGGAUAUUUAAGUCAGCUGUAAAAGGCAUGAGCUCAACUCAUGUAUGCGGUUGAAACUGGGUAUCUAGAGUGCUGGAGAGGUAGGCGGAAUUCCCGGUGUAGCGGUGAGAUGCGUAGAUAUCGGGAAGAACACCAGUGGCGAAGGCGGCUUACUGGCCAGCAACUGACGCUGAGGCGCGAAAGCCAGGGGAGCGAACGGG
rnacentral:rRNA from 1 species